AAGGGUAGUACUUACGCACACGACGUGGGAGUAUAAAUAACUUCAAGUCAAGGCUGAUACUAUCGACGAAAAGCUCUAGAACGAGCACGACAAAAUCAAAUUUAUUUAUUUCAGAAUUAGCCAGAAAUCACCUGUACCAUCCAAGUUUCCAUAAGAAAACCGCAUUUUAAGAAAAUGAAGAAAGGGUAGUACUUACGCACACGACGUGGGAGUAUAAAUAACUUCAAGUCAAGGCUGAUACUAUCGACGAAAAGCUCUAGAACGAGCACGACAAAAUCAAAUUUGCGACUCCCAAGUUCCAUCAGACCUUUACGUUUGCAACAUGGUUACGUCGUUGCUUGCUUGCUUUGCUUGUGCCCUUUUUGAUUCGUUAAUUCGUUCCGGUUCCUUUGAAAGCUAAUCUGUCUGAAUUCUGCUGCAUUGAAUGCAAAGUCUAGAAGAGGUACGUUGGCAUCACUUAACAGUAACACGCGAGCACCUCUCCAGAGUCACACUGCAUACUCUAGAGUCUAGAGUAACAGUUUUUUUGGCAGCGGCUUUUGUUGGUUCCCUCGUACAUUCAAGAGGAUUUGGUUUUUGUUUAUCUAUUUAUUUAUUUAUUUCAGAAUUAGCCAGAAAUCACCUGUACCAUCCAAGUUUCCAUAUAUAUAUAAAGCGUGGAAUCGUCAUAAUCUCUGACACAACAGAGCAAAGCCAAAAACAAGAUUCAAUGGAGAACCUCGGAGAGUCUCACAUGCAACAAAAGAAAGGAAGAAGAUUGAUACUCUUUCCGCUGCCUUUUCAAGGCCACAUAAACCCAAUGCUUCAGCUUGCAAACAUUCUCUAUUCAAAAGGCUUUUCAAUCACCAUAAUCCACACCAAAUUCAACUCCCCGAAUCGCUUUUCAAUCACCAUAAUCCACACCAACUUCAACUCCCCGAAUCCCUCAAACUACCCUCACUUCACCUUCUGUUCAAUCCAAGACGGCUUGUCAGAAACUGAAGCCUCUACCACGGAUUUUGUGGCCCUUAUUUCAGUACUGCAUGUUAAGUGUGCUGCGCCAUUUCAGGAUUGCUUGGCCAAGUUGCUGUCAAAUGCUGAGGAGAAGGAAGAAGAGCCUAUUGCUUGCUUAAUCACAGAUGCUAGUUGGUUCUUCACUCAUGAUGUUGCUGAAAGCCUAAAGCUCCCCAGGAUUGUGUUAAGGAGUCUCAGUGUCUCUUCCUCUCUUGUUUAUGCUGCCUUACCAGUUCUAAGCCAAAAGGGUUACUUUCCCAUACAAGGUGCAAUUCAAUAACUUCUUGCUUCUAGUGUGUUUCAUUGAUAAUUUUUUCAGUAGGCAUUGUUUGAUUAUUAAAUAUUUGCCCUCGACAGAUCUUCCCUGAGGAUGAUUCAGAUUCUUGUUACAUAAAAAGUAGUUAAAUAAAAUCUGAAGGACACCAAUUCAUAAUAGUAAUGACUAAUGAUCACUGCACUUGGUAUCUAAAUUAUCUUCUUUUUUUAAUUAUUUUUGUUCUUCAUUGUUCAGAUUCUCAUGAUUUGGAAGCCCCAGUGCCAGAGCUUCCGCCUCUAAGAAUGAAAGACAUUCCUGUCAUUGAAACGCUUUAUCAAGAGACACUGCAUCAAUUUGCAGCAGAAGCAAUCAAUCAGAUGAAGGCUUCCUCAGGAUGCAUAUGGAAUUCAGUUCAGGAACUUGAACAAGAUUCUCUUGCUAAAUUUCACCGGGAGUUCCCCAUUCCAUCGUUCCCUAUAGGCCCGUUUCACAAGUACUAUCCAGCUUCUGCAAGUAGCUUAUUGUCACAAGACCGAAUCUGCAUUUCUAGGUUAGACAAACAGGCACCAAAAUCUGUAAUUUAUGUAAGUUUUGGAAGCAUUGCUGCCAUUGAUGAGACCAAAUUUUUGGAAGUAGCUUGGGGCCUAGCCAACAGCAAGGUGCCAUUCUUGUGGGUGGUACGGCCAGGACUAGUCCGCGGAGCAGAAUGGAUUGAGCUAUUACCACGAGGGUUCUUGGAAAUGUUAGACGGAAGAGGGCAUAUAGUGAAAUGGGCUCCCCAGCAAGAAGUGCUAGCUCAUCCUGCCACCGGAGCAUUUUGGACACAUUGUGGCUGGAAUUCGACGUUGGAAAGUAUGUGUGAAGGUGUCCCCAUGAUAUGCCAGCCUUGUCAUGGUGAGCAAAUGGUGAUUGCAAGAUAUGUUAGUGAUGUUUGGAAAGUUGGUUUGCAUUUGGAAAGGAAGCUGGAGAGAGGGGAGGUUGAAAGGGCAAUUAGAAGAGUAAUGGUGGAUGCCGAGGGGCGGGAAAUGAGGAACAGAGCUGAGAUUCUGAAGGAAAAACUGGAUCUUUGUACAAAGCAAGGCAGUUCUUCAUAUCAAUCUCUAGAAAACUUGAUUAGUUACAUUUUGUCAUACUAGAUUUUCCAAUACUUACAUCUAUCUUUCUAAUAAGGGCAGUAUGAAAAUUAAAACAUGGCAUGUCCCGGCCGUAUUCAAUGAGAUCUUUCUGAAUAUUUAUGUGAUCAGCGUUCCCCAACCCAAGGAGUGAAACUUGAAGGACUUAUCCAAAAUCCGUAGCAAGGCCAAGUUUAUAUUGUUUAAGGGGAUUUUUUUUUUUUUGCAAUAAUUGUGGGGUGUUGAAGAAAAAGCUGAUAAGAUAGUGACCUGCACUCUCUUCUAGUCUUCUUGCAUUAACAGUGUCCGAAGUUUGUGCAUUUGUUGGAUAUUUCUGAUCCUUACAGGAAAUCAAAAGUCGGAUUUGUAUUUGUGAGCUGAAUAAAGACGUGAGUUGGUUUGUGUUGCUCUCGUUGUUUAAUUUCCCCUUCUUCAUGUGAAGGAAUGCAUUAUAUUUCAUUUAGCAAUUUAUUAGAUUAUUAAUUAUUGUUGCUCGUUAAACUAAAGUUUCGUUCACCAAUAAAAUAUUUAAUUAACUCAUUGUACGUGUGUACGGCUAAUGAACAACAGUAUAAGUGAGAAAUUAAACAGAAAGCAGGAAGCAGAAAGAUUCAAUGGAGAAUCAAAUAGAGUCACAUACGCAACAAUAAGAACGGAAUAAGAGUGAUACUCUUCGCAUAAGAGUCCAUGCUUCAGCUUGCAAGCAUUCUCUAUUCCAGAGGCUUCUCAGCCUCUGUAAUUCAAUACCAGCUUCAACUCUCCAAAAUCUUCAAACUACGUACCCUCUCUUCUAGUGGAGCUGUGGAGUUCCCCAAAAAAAACCCAUAAUUUUCUAUCCGACCUUUUCCUUUGAUAUGAUUAUUAGUGGAGGAGAAAAAAUGAGUCAGAAACUUUAGAUUAGACAUCUGCAAUUCUGCAUGGGUAACGUAACGUCACUCAUUCAAUAGUUGGGCUAAAGUUUGGAUUCUUAUAAGAGGGCGAGAUAAGCCCAUUGGGCCUAUAAGCUGAUAACACCGCCGAAAAGCUAACUAAAACAGGAGCAGCAAAUCAAAUUAUUACUUCAGUUUUAUGGCUGCCACAUGGUUCUCUGCUUGUCUUGUCUAAUGGGCAACGCCAAUGCGUCGGUGCUCUGCCUUUGUGCCCCAUCUAAUAAUAUAUUAUGAUUAUGAUUAUUAUCUAAUUCAUGCAUAUCCUUUCUAAGUGAUUGGGUUGCCACUAUUUUACAUUACUUUUUUACAUCCUUUUUUUAUGCAUGUAUUGCUUUAUGCAAGUCUAAAAGAGGUUCUAUGACACAAUCCAUGGGUUUAUCCAAACUCAAAUCAAAUUAAAUGGUUUGGGUUGGGUAAAUCAUUAAAAUGGGUUAGAUGUGGGUUUUAUGUAAAAAACCAUUUCAUUAUGGUUUGGGUAUGGUUUACCCAUGGGUUAUGGAUAAAACCCCAACACUUAAAUUUUCAAAUGAAAUAAAUCACCAUUAAAUUUUUUACGGCUGAUCAAUUAUCAACAGUUUGAAAAUGAAAAUAACAGUAAAAAUAAAUUUAAAUUAAAUAAAUAUUGUUGUAAAUAACAUAAAUUUUUUUUCUUAUUUACAAAAAUAAUUCCUCCCACAUGGAAAGAUCAUCAUAGAAAGAGCAGGAGACUCUACUAAUGAUCAAUAAUAAUUCGGCUUGGAUUGGGUCCGAUAUGCUAGAUGUCGGCUAAUUUUUGGUUAAUAAUUGAAUGUAAUGCCCAUAUUAAGUAUUAAAACAAGAAAUAUAUAUUUUGAUAUGAGUAGAAAAAUUAAUAAUAAAAUUUUUUCUUGUAAUUAUUUAUUUUGUGAACAUUUUCUUAUAAUAAAUAUUUUGUAAUAUUUUAAAAUUAAAUGUAAAAAGUAUAGGUAAAAUAUUUUAUUAUUUAUCUUAUAAUAAAUUUUUAUUUGUCAAUCAAGUUUUCUUAUAAUAAUUUUUUUAUCAUUUUACUAAUAAUUUUCUUAUAUAUUUAUUAUAAGAAAAUUUUCAAAAAAUAAAUAAGUAUAAAAAAAUUUUAUUAUUAAUUUUUUUGUUCAUAUCAAAACAAAUAUUUCUUAUUUUUAAUGCUUUAUUUUUUAUUUAGUUUCUAUUCAUGUGAUUUAUUUAAUUUAUAAUAAAUGUAAAUAAAAGAGUAAUUAAAAAUUACCAAAACGAUAAAUAAAAACAAAUAUUGCAUAAUUAAAUAAAUAACAAGUGGCAAAAUUUAUUAUUAGAUUGUUAAUGUCAUGUUUGUGAAAGUUUAUUAUUAAAGUGUACGUUCUUAUUUAUUGAGAAAUAAUAAUUUUUGUGAUUAAACUUUAUUUUGAUUUUCUAGUAUUCUUUAAUUUAAGGAUUAAGUUAUUGUAAAAUUUAUAAUUUUUAUCCACUAUAUUUUUUAUAUUUUAAUAUCAAUUUAAUAAUUAAUAACAAUUAAUAAUUAUUAUAAUUUUGAUAUAAUUAAAUUUUAUUAAAAUAAAAAUUAUUUUGAUAAUAAAAUUCAAACCAAACCCAAACCAAACUCAAAUGGUUUGGUUUGGUUUGGGUUAAAAAUAUUUGGGUUGGUUUGGGUUGGAUCCAAAUUUUUAUGGUUUGGUUUGGGUUGACUUAAAAUCCAACCCAAACCAACCCAUGCCCACCCCUAGAUAGGGUCAUACAAACUCAAAAAAGUAAGCACCUCUUUCUUUUUAUAUGCAUUUAAUUUUUGACCUACUUGGUGUGCUAGUGUUAUGGUGUAAAGACAAGAUUGGAUCUGUAAUCUCAAAACAAAAUUUAGUGGGUGAUGUCAUUGUGCAAUAUUGUCACGAGCCUUCUGGUUGAUUCAUAAUGUCGGCAUUAUUUAUAGAACAUUAUAGAAUAUAAAAUAAAUUUACGAAAUUAUAUUUGAUAGUGAACUGUUUUAUGGGAUCCCCUAUCUUACAUGCAUGUAAGAUACAUGUCUCUCACAUGAAUAGUGUGUGGGUCCCACAUAUACACUAUUCAUGUGAGAGGCAUGUAUCUUACAUGCAUGUAAGAUAGAGUUUGCCCUGUUUUAUUGAUCUUUGUGCAUGAGACUCAGUUUUCUUAACACCAAGAGAUUCCAUUUGUCGGCUCAAUAAUUUAUGAAGGUGAGUUUGUAUAUUAUAUAGAUCAUGCGAAUUGCGACCGUCUCUUAAAAGGUGGCAUUUGUUGGAUUCCUUGUACAUUUUAGGUGUUUUUGAUAUACUAUAUUUUAUUAUAAUGUAAUAUAAUAUAAAGUUUUGUAAUGUUUGGUAUUAUAUCGUACAUUAUUAUAUAUAAUAUUAUUUAUAUUAAAUUAAUUUUUUAUAAUUAUAAAUAUCUUAAAAAUUUUAUAGUUUAUAUUUAUUAUUUAAAUUUAUAAAUAUAAAUAAAAUUAUUCACCAACGAUCACCGUGAACCAUUGCAAAUUGCUUCGGGCAUUCAUAUUUUGAUAAUUUUUUUUAAACUUCAAUUCUAGUGCUAUUAGAAUCCUUGUCAGCGGAUCGGAUCUAUACAACGAGUGAGCAAAAGCUUUGAUUCUGCUAUUACAUAUGCUAUCGAGUAAUUCCAAUGAUAAAGACUCCAUUGGUACCAAAAUUGAUGUCAAAGAAUGCUAAAAUAAUAUUAUUGGUGGUGGAUUGUGGUGGUCAGCAUUCGAAUUUAUUGUUUUAUAAACUAAUAAUAAAUAAAUUAAAUAUAUUGUAAUUGAUUAAAUAAUUCUACGUUUUAAAAGUCAGCAAUAUAUCUUAGUCACGGUGGGAUUGUAUAUCAUUACUUUAUGGGCCCAGCAUUACUUUGAUAUUGCGGCAAAAGAUGCAUUAAGGCCUUCGGUUAAUGUUGCUCAAUGCAAAUUUAAUAUAGAAAGCAGAGUCAUUUGAAUCUUUCAUUAAACACAACAUAGCAAGCCAAAAGAAGAAAGAUUCAAUGGAUGUACUUGGAGAUUCUCACAUUCAUCAAAAGAAAGGAAGAAGACUGAUACUCUUCCCACUGCCUUUACAAGGCCACAUAAACCCAAUGCUUCAGCUUGCAAACAUUCUCUAUUCAAAAGGCUUUUCAAUCACCAUAAUCCACACCAACUUCAACUCCCCGAAUCCCUCAAACUACCCUCACUUCACCUUCUGUUCAAUCGAAGACAGCUUGUCAGAAACUGAAGCCUCUACCGCGGAUUUAGUGGCUCUUCUUUCACUACUUAAUGUUCAGUGUGUUGUGCCAUUUCGGAAUUGCUUGGCUAAGUUGUUGUCAAAUGUUGAGGAGGAGGAAAAGGAGCCUAUUGCUUGCUUAAUCACGGAUGCUACUUGGUACUUCACUCAGGCUGUUGCUGAAAGCCUAAAGCUCUCCAGGAUUGUGUUAAGGACUAAUAGCGUCUCUUCAUUUCUUGUUUUUUCCGC
rnacentral:lncRNA from 1 species